rnacentral:rRNA from 1 species
AGCAGCCGCGGUAAUUCCAGCUCCAAUAGCGUAUAUUAAAGUUGUUGCAGUUAAAAAGCUCGUAGUUGAAUUUCGGGGUCAGUAGGUUGGUCAUGCCACUGGUAUGUACUGGUCUCACUGAUUCCUCCUUCCUGAUGAGCCGUAAUGCCAUUAAUUUGGUGUUGCGAGGAAUCUGGACUGUUACUUUGAAAAAAUUAGAGUGUUUAAAGCAAGCUAACGCUUGAAUACAUUAGCAUGGAAUAAUGAAAUAGGACGUUCGAUCCUAUUUUGUUGGUUUCUAGGAUUGACGUAAUGAUUAAUAGGGAUAGUUGGGGGCAUUAGUAUUCAAUUGUCAGAGGUGAAAUUCUUGGAUUUAUUGAAGACUAACUACUGCGAAAGCAUUUGCCAAGGAUGUUUUCAUUAAUCAAGAACGAAAGUUAGGGGAUCGAAGACGAUCAGAUACCGUCGUAGUCUUAACCAUAAACUAUGCCGACUAGGGAUCGGAUGAUGUUAACUUUUUAAUGACUCAUUC